UUUAGAGAUUUCUUUGUUCAAUUUUUUUGACAAAAUUAGUUGCAUUAGGUGUACAAUUAGCCUAGAGAGCAGAAUGAAAAAUAAAAAAAAUUGCAUGACUCGCAUCUCAAGGUCAUAGUGAAAGAAUGAAAAGAACGCCUUACUUUUAUCGCAUAGAUCCAAUGUAGCUUCAGGAUCAUAUGAUAGGUUAUAAAGAAUGUAUAGAAAAAGACUGAUAUAGAUCACAAAGAGUGUUACCAAGGCAGUUUUCCAUUAAAGAAUUUUGAUGGAUCUGAUGGACAAUACUGUAACAGGGGAAUAAGUUCAGGACAAGUGAUUAAAUACGAA